CGGUGUUUUGCUCUGUCAGCCAUGCCGUCUGUUGUGGGGACUCCCUGUUUGUCUGGCACUGGGCGCAAGUACCCUCCAUGACGUGGUUGUUCUGCACAGUUUGUGUGGAGUUGUUCUUACAUCAGGGGCCCUCAGUUGAAUAACCAGUCUGAUCCCUACUCCUGUGUAUCAUCCGGUCUUCUAUUUUGUUUGGCCCACCAUCUUUGCAACUCGGGUGAAGUGGGAGGUUCAACUGGUCUGAGAACACUUGAUGUACUCCAUUGACUGUCUGAAUGAAAGGUUUUUAUGUUUCUGCAGAACACAACAACUGAUCUCCAUCUAUAACUAUAUUUUUUUAAGGCUCACGGGCCAAACGUUCAGUCCUUCUUUACCGAAUCAAGCUGGAGGCUGCGGGCAACGGACAGCACCCCCUUGUGGCCAACCCGAGGAAUUACCAUCACUUUAUUAA
rnacentral:lncRNA from 1 species